rnacentral:rRNA from 1 species
GAUGAACGCUGGCGGCGUGCCUAAUACAUGCCAGUCGAGCGAACAGACGAGGAGCUUGCUCCUCUGACGUUAGCGGCGGACGGGUGAGUAACACGUGGAUAACCUACCUAUAAGACUGGGAUAACUUCGGGAAACCGGAGCUAAUACCGGAUAAUAUAUUGAACCGCGUGGUUCAAUAGUGAAAGACGGUUUUGCUGUCACUUAUAGAUGGAUCCGCGCCGCAUUAGCUAGUUGGUAAGGUAACGGCUUACCAAGGCAACGAUGCGUAGCCGACCUGAGAGGGGGAUCGGCCACACUGGAACUGAGACACGGUCCAGACUCCUACGGGAGGCAGCAGUAGGGAAUCUUCCGCAAUGGGCGAAAGCCUGACGGAGCAACGCCGCGUGAGUGAUGAAGGUCUUCGGAUCGUAAAACUCUGUUAUUAGGGAAGAACAAAUGUGUAAGUAACUAUGCACGUCUUGACGGUACCUAAUCAGAAAGCCACGGCUAACUACGUG